UCUAAGAUGUGUUCCACUUCUUGAAAAACUAGAUAGUGCAACAAGCUUAGUCCUGUGAGAGGUGGCCAGCUGUGGUAAUAAUUAAACAUUGGAGCAGGAUGCAUUUGAAGCCAAAUGAGGCAACAUUAAAGGUUUAACAAAUAGUCGGGUUAAGGAAAACUUAUUAUCUCCUAAUAAUAGAUAUAGCAUCUCCAUGCUUUCCAAUUUCAUUUCAGGUUUACCAUCUUAUGUUACUGUUAGUUUCUUUUACGCAGCUCAGUUUACCUUCGAAUAGUGUCGAUAAACUUCAUGUGUACACUCUCACCUACUCAUGUCAUCCUGUUUUUUUAAUUUGUGAUUCAGAGUUCAACUCAUGGCAUGGAAUCAGUGCAUCAAAUUCAAAGCUUUCUCUGUUUGAGCAGUGGCUUCGAAAUCAAAAAGUAGACCUUUUUUUCCUUUUCUUUUAGUGAAGUGUUAGGGCUUUAGAGAAUUUGAUAAUCAGGAAGUUUAGAUAAUUAGACAUUAGUACUACAUUUCCUAAUUUGAUGCAUUUUCAUCAUAAGUGUACACAGCUGUCCAGAAUUGGAACCUCGCCUUUAUAUGCAUCCGCAGAAACAGAAAAACGCGCGGAACUAUAACUCAAAUCUAACAAAAUGGCGCAUUGACAGUAAAAAAAUCAAACAACAAAGAGAGGCGGCUUGAGCAAACCGUUCAGAGUAAGCUAACAGAGACGAAAAUGAAGAAAAGGAAACAAACAAGUAACAAUUUCAUCUGUAAUUCAGCCAAUUGUAUGUAAAAAGACACAAAAUUCAGAAAGUUUCCGGAUCCAAAAAGGCGCAUCUAUAUAGAUAUCAAGUGCUUGAUACGCAAAAACAACAAAUCCGCCAUCGCGUCACAUGCAGAAGAAAAAGGGAAAAAAAAGGUGAAAAUGACCUUGUAACAGCAUUUCGGCGACGCAUAUUAGGGUAUUUGGACGGUCCGUUGCGGUUAAGGACGAAGAGGAUCUGAAGAUAAGGUCGUUAAAGGUAACAGUAGAACGCCGUUUAGCUUCAUAUUGUCAUACAAGUCACGAGUAGGGGAGCGAAGGUGUGAAAGGAUUUGGCUUUUGGUUCGGGAAGACCAAAUCGCGCUCUAAAGUACAAAAGAUAGACACCAUUAACAGCUGCAUCCACUUUCUUCUCUCUUUCUCUCUCUACUCCUUCCGCCAUGUGCGUGAGUGACACUAUAUACUGUUUACCCACUUAGCAUUUGUUUGUCUGUUUCUUCAAUUUUACACUGCCCAAUUAUAUUUUUAAAAAUAUAUUUACCGCUUGCUUCCAUUUUUUU
rnacentral:lncRNA from 1 species